rfam:Microgenomates (Roizmanbacteria) bacterium GW2011_GWC2_34_23 TR56_C0003, whole genome shotgun sequence.
CCGUGGGUGGCAGAUCGGCGAUGCAACGCUCUGUAAAAGCGUAUCAAGUAGGUUCAACUCCUACCCCACGGA